UGGCUCUCGCAUCGAUGAAGAACGCAGCGAAUCGCGAUAAGUAGUGUGAAUUGCAGAAUCCAGUGAAUCAUCGAGUCUUUGAACGCAACUUGCGCUCCUUGGUAUUCCGAGGAGCAUGCCUGUUUGAGUGUCUUGAAGUCAUCGACCCCACCUGUUUUGAUUGCGGGAUGGGUGUCGGACAUGGGGCGCUUGCGGUCGGUUGACGUGCCGCUCCCCUCAAAUGCGUUGGUCGGGCCUUGUGGGUUUGAACUCGGUCUCUGGGCGUUGUACCAUCCUCGCUCCGUGCCGUGUGCGACUCGCAUGACUUGUGCCCCUCCGCAGCCGCCCAUCUGCUGGGUGGCCGGCGAAAGCCGUUCCAUUUGAAAUCUGACCUCAAAUCAGGUAGGACUACCCGCUGA
rnacentral:misc_RNA from 1 species